CGGAAGACGGCGUGAUAUGCUGUUCUACUUUUAAGUGGUGACCUCAUUUUAUUGCUGAAAGUUGGGACAUUACCCGGGAGUUCAGUCCUCCUGGAAUUUCAGCCUGUGAUAGUUAAAACAGGAAACAGAUAAAAUAAAUUAAAAU